GUGUCAGCAGCCGCGGUAAUACGGAGGGGGUUAGCGUUGUUCGGAAUUACUGGGCGUAAAGCGCGCGUAGGCGGAUUGGAAAGUUGGGGGUGAAAUCCCGGGGCUCAACCCCGGAACUGCCUCCUAAACUUCCAGUCUGGAGUUCGAGAGAGGUGAGUGGAAUUCCGAGUGUAGAGGUGAAAUUCGUAGAUAUUCGGAGGAACACCAGUGGCGAAGGCGGCUCACUGGCUCGAUACUGACGCUGAGGUGCGAAAGUGUGGGGAGCAAACAGGAUUAGAUACCCUGGUAGUCCACACCGUAAACGAUGGGUGCUAGAUGUUGGGGGCCUUUGGCUUCCGGUGUCGCAGCUAACGCGUUAAGCACCCCGCCUGGGGAGUACGGCCGCAAGGUUAUAACUCAAAGGAAUUGGCGGGG
rnacentral:rRNA from 1 species